CCUCAUCUGGGGAAUAACACCGCUUCGUUAAAUUUCAAAGGAAUUGACUCCGACCCACACCCUUAAUGGAUUGAGUGAUUUAAUUAGAAGAUACGCGCAGAACCUUACCAAACCUUGACAUGUUCGUCGCGACUUUAAGAGAUUAAAGUUUUCGGUUCGGCCGGACGAAACACAGGUGCUGCAUGGCUGUCGUCAGCUCGUGUCGUGAGAUGUUGGGUUAAGUCCCGCAACGAGCGCAACCCUCACUUUUAGUUGCCAUCAUUUAGUUGGGCACUCUGAAAGAACUGCCAGUGAUAAGCUGGAGGAAGGUGGGGAUGACGUCAAGUCCUCAUGGCCCUUACGUGUUGGGCUACACACGUGCUACAAUGGUAUUUACAACAGGAAGCAAGACGGCGACGUUAAGCAAAUCCUUAAAAAAUACCUCAGUUCGGAUUGCACUCUGCAACUCGAGUGCAUGAAGCUGGAAUUACUAGUAAUCGUGGAUCAGCGUGCCACGGUGAAUGCGUUCCCGGGUCUUGUACACACCGCCCGUCACACCAUGGGAGUUGGUUCUACCUUAAGGCAAGGUUUAAUACCCUUGACCACGGUAUAAUCAGCGACUGGGGUGAAGUCGUAACAAGGUAGCCGUAGGGGAACCUGCGGCUGGAUUACCUCCUUUCUAAGGAUGGAUGAAAUAAGAUUAUUUCAUUCUAAAUAAUAUACAUCGGUAAUGUGACCGUCCUCAUUUCUCUUCUUAAACAUUUAAAGUGUUACUUUACCGUAAUGGGCCGGUAGCUCAGUUGGUUAGAGCACACCCUUGAUAAGGGUGGGGUCGAAAGUUCGAGUCUUUCUCGGCCCACCAAAUAAAAAUUAAGGGGGAUUAGCUCAGCUGGGAGAGCGCCUGAUUUGCAUUCAGGAGGUCAGCGGUUCGAUCCCGCUAUCCUCCACCAAACACUUAGUUAUAAUAAAUUGUGAAUAAAUAAUAAUUAAUAUCAAUAUCUAUAUCCGAACAUUAGUAAUGUUAUUAGCUAAUGUUCAAAACAAAAAUUUGAUUCAACACAGAAUUUUUUUCUG
rnacentral:sRNA from 1 species